GGAUUAGAUACCCUGGUAGUCCACGCCGUAAACGAUGAUUACUAGGUUCUGGGAGUUUCAACGCUUUCAGAGUCGUAGCGAAAGCAUUAAGUAAUCCGCCUGGGGAGUACGGUCGCAAGAUUAAAACUCAAAGGAAUUGACGGGGGCUCACACAAGCGGUGGAGCAUGUGGCUUAAUUCGAGACAACGCGAAGAACCUUAUCCUGGAUUUGACAUGUAUGGAUUAGCUUUUGGAAACAUAAGUAACGCUGCUUGCAGUGGAACAUACAUAGGUGCUGCAUGGCUGUCGUCAGCUCGUGCUG
rnacentral:rRNA from 1 species